GUGAGGGGAGUGAAAUAGAACCUGAAACCGUCUGCGUACAAGCAGUAGGAGCUCGUGUAUUAACCAUACAUUAAGAUUGCGAAUUGAGCGGUAACGCAGAAAAAAAUUCAAGUGCGAAAAGUAUAUUUUAGAUAGUACACAGAGUAAUUAAAGUGCGGAGUGACUGCGUACCUUUUGUAUAAUGGGUCAGCGAGUGACUUUUAGUGGCAAGCUUAACCGAAUAGGGUAGGCGAAGGGA
rnacentral:rRNA from 1 species